UACGUAGGGGGCGAGCGUUAUCCGGAUUCACUGGGCGUAAAGGGAGCGCAGGCGGCACGGCAAGUCCGGUGUGAAAGCCCGGGGCCCAACCCCGGGACUGCACUGGAAACUGUGAAGCUGGAGUGCAGGAGAGGUAAGCGGAAUUCCUGGUGUAGCGGUGAAAUGCGUAGAUAUCAGGAGGAACACCGGCGGCGAAGGCGGCUUACUGGACUGUAACUGACGUUGAGGCUCGAAGGCGUGGGGAGCAAACAGG
rnacentral:rRNA from 1 species